rnacentral:tRNA from 1 species
AGCUCAAUGGUAGAGCAGAAGCUUCCCAAGCUUACGACGAGGGUUCGAUUCCCUUC